GUGCCAGCCGCCGCGGUAAUACAGAGGUGGCAAGCGUUGUUCGGAAUUACUGGGCGUAAAGGGCGCGUAGGCGGUCCCGUCAGUCCCUUGUGAAAUCCCCCGGCUCAACUGGGGAACUGCAAGGGAUACAGCGGGGCUUGAGUUCGGGAGAGGGAAGCGGAAUUCCGGGUGUAGCGGUGAAAUGCGUAGAUAUCCGGAGGAACACCGGUGGCGAAGGCGGCUUCCUGGACCGAUACUGACGCUGAGGCGCGAAAGCUAGGGGAGCAAACGGGAUUAGAUACCCGCGUAGUCC
rnacentral:rRNA from 1 species